rnacentral:rRNA from 1 species
GACGAGCGCUGGCGGCGUGCUUAACACAUGCAAGUCGAACGAUGAACCCGGAGCUUGCUCCGGUGGAUUAGUGGCGAACGGGUGAGUAACACGUGAGUAACCCGCCCUUGACUCUGGGAUAACUGCGGGAAACUGUAGCUAAUACCGGAUACGACCCUCGGCGGCAUCGCCAGGGGGUGGAAAGAAUUUCGGUCAAGGAUGGACUCGCGGCCUAUCAGCUAGUUGGUGAGGUAACGGCUCACCAAGGCGACGACGGGUAGCCGGCCUGAGAGGGUGACCGGCCACACUGGGACUGAGACACGGCCCAGACUCCUACGGGAGGCAGCAGUGGGGAAUAUUGCACAAUGGGCGCAAGCCUGAUGCAGCAACGCCGCGUGAGGGAUGACGGCCUUCGGGUUGUAAACCUCUUUUAGUAGGGAAGAAGCGAAAGUGACGGUGCCUGCAGAAAAAGCACCGGCUAACUACGUGCCAGCAGCCGCAGUAA